GAUGAAGAACGUAGCGAAAUGCGAUAAGUAAUGUGAAUUGCAGAAUUCAGUGAAUCAUCGAAUCUUUGAACGCACAUUGCGCCCGCCAGUAUUCUGGCGGGCAUGCCGGUUCGAGCGUCAUUACAACCCUCAGGCCCCCGGGCCUGGCGUUGGGGAUCGGCGGAGCCCCCCGUGGGCACACGCCGUCCCCCAAAUGCAGUGGCGGUCCCGCCGCAGCUUCCAUCGCGUAGUAGCUAACACCUCGCGACUGGAGAGCGGCGCGGCCACGCCGUAAAACACCCAACUCUUCUGAAGUUGACCUCGAAUCAGGUAGGAAUACCCGCUGAACUUAAGCAUAUCAAUAAGCGGAGGA
rnacentral:misc_RNA from 1 species